UACGAAGGGUGCAAGCGUUAAUCGGAAUUCCUGGGCGUAAAGCGUGCGCAGGCGGUUUGUUAAGUCUGUUGUGAAAUCCCCGAGCUCAACUUGGGAAUUGCAAUGGAUACUGGCAGGCUGGAGUAUGGUAGAGGAAGGUGGAAUUCCCGGUGUAGCAGUGAAAUGCGUAGAGAUCGGGAGGAACACCAGUGGCGAAGGCGGCCUUCUGGACCAAUACUGACGCUCAUGCACGAAAGCGUGGGGAGCAAACAGG
rnacentral:rRNA from 1 species